ACUCUUCAGCCAGCUGCAGUACUUCCGGUACUCGCUAACGUUAGCUGUAGCUAUGGCGUUCUUUACUCGAUCGCUGCAGGACCUGCCGAGGAUAACGGUAAACGACGUACAUCGAAUAAUCCAGGCCACAUCGAAGACACCAACGUCAAAAAAGUUUUUUUGACUGUGUGAUUGUCUGAUGUGCUCCACUUGUUCCCCAUCCCUGGUGUCACCUGUCUUGCGUCUUCUCUUUACCUAGUUUAUUUAGCCCCUGUGUUUCCCCUUGUCCUUUGUCAGAGUGUUUUGUAUCUCCUCCCGGUCAGUUCGUGUGUUCCUGUGCCUGUCUCUGCUCCCUGUUCUUGUUUUUUUUGUACUUUGGACCUUUUUGCCUGUUGCCUUCAGGACUUCCUUUGUUGUUUGCUCCCCUCAUUGUUGUCCAAUAAACCUGAGUUUAACCAUCUCCUGCCUGCCUGCCUCUCCCUGCGUUUGGGUCCACUCUUCCUCGCUCCUCGCAACAGUGUCCAGCUAUAUAUACAACUACGAAGCGUAUUAAACCUGGUCCAGUUAAUGACAUGGUCAUAUCAGCCAGACCAAGAGAGAGGAGACUUGCAGAAGGAAUCAGCGGGGUCUUGCCUUGGAGCCUAUAGCAGUAGAGGAGUACUGCAAGGUGAGGGAAGUCAACCAUUACCCUUGUGGGUUCCUGAUCCACCCUGAGGCACCAUGGAUGGGGUCAACACCCGAUGGGAUUGUGUUUGAUCCUGAGGGGCAGCCAGUGUUUGGCCUGUUAGAAAUUAAAUGCCCAAAUGUAACUAGCUAUGUGGACUGCCCUUACGUUAUGAUAAAAGACGGAAAACAUACACUGAGGCGAUCCCAUCCUUAUUACUGGCAGGUCCAGGGACAAAUGUUGAUUUCUGGGUGUGACUGGUGUGACUUUGUCAUUUACACAGAAGAUGACAUGUUCAUUCAGAGAAUUCCCCAUGACUUGGAAGUCAUACAAACCAUUAAAGAAAAAGUUGACUAUUUCUUUUUUUAUUUCUACCUCAAUGCCUUCUUGGCCAAUUAAUGACUUGAUUGCAGUGUAAAUA